rnacentral:ncRNA from 2 species
CUGUUCUCAUCGGGGUGCUUUGUAUAGCAAGGCUGAGAAAUACCCAUAGAACCUGAUCUGACUAAUAUCAGCGUAGGGAUUUGAGACAGACAAUCUA